rnacentral:rRNA from 1 species
CGGGAGUAACGCGUGGGUAACCGUGCCUCAUACAGGGGGAUAACAGUUAGAAAUAGACUGCUAAUACCGCAUAAGCGCACAGUGCUGCAUGGCACAGUGUGAAAAACUCCGGUGGUAUGAGAUGGACCCGCGUCUGAUUAGCUAGUUGGUGGGGUAACGGCCUACCAAGGCGACGAUCAGUAGCCGGCCUGAGAGGGUGAACGGCCACAUUGGGACUGAGACACGGCCCAA